rnacentral:rRNA from 1 species
GACGAACGCUGGCGGCGUGCUUAACACAUGCAAGUCGAACGAUACGAUUGAAAGCUUGCUUUCGAAAGUCGAGUGGCAAACGGGUGAGUAACGCGUAGACAACCUGCCUUUGAGAUGGGGACAACAGUUCGAAAGGACUGCUAAUACCGAAUGUUGUAUAUUUUCCACAUGGAAGAUAUAUUAAAGAUGGCCUCUAUUUAUAAGCUAUCGCUCAAAGAUGGGUCUGCGUCUGAUUAGCUGGUUGGUGGGGUAACGGCCUACCAAGGCGACGAUCAGUAGCCGGUCUGAGAGGAUGAACGGCCACAUUGGGACUGAGACACGGCCCAGACUCCUACGGGAGGCAGCAGUGGGGAAUCUUCCACAAUGGACGAAAGUCUGAUGGAGCAACGCCGCGUGAGUGAAGAAGGGUUUCGGCUCGUAAAGCUCUGUUGUCGGGGACGAAUGUGCAGUAUUUGAAUAAAGUACUGUAAUGACGGUACCUGACGAGGAAGCCACGGCUAACUACGUGCCAGCCGCCGCCGUAA